rnacentral:rRNA from 1 species
CAGGAUUAGAUACCCUGGUAGUCCACGCCCUAAACGAUGGAUACUAGGCGUAAGAGGUAUCGACCCCUCUUGUGCCGCAGUUAACGCAUUAAGUAUCCCGCCUGAGGACUACGGCCGCAAGGUUGAAACUCAAAUGAAUUGACGGGGACCCGCACAAGCGGUGGAGCAUGUGGAUUAAUUCGAUACUAACCGAAGAACCUUACCCAGGUUUGACAUCGAUCGCAAUCCCUAGAAAUAGGGCCCUCUCCAAAAGAGACGUGAAGACACUUGUUGCAUGGCUGUCGUCAGCUCGUGCCGUGAGGUGUACGGUUAAGUCCGCCAACGAGCGCAACCCUCGUCCUGUGUUACCAGCGAGAAAGUCGGGAACUCACAGGAGACCGCCGGUGUAAGCCGGAGGAAGGUGGGGAUGAUGUCAAGUCAGCAUGGCAGUUACAUCUGGGGCUUCACACAUGCUACAAUGGGCGCACCAAAGGGCAGCAAUACCGCGAGGUGGAGCAAAUCCCAAAAAUACGCCCCCAGUUCAGAUUGCAGUCUGCAACUCGACUGCAUGAAGGCGGAAUUGCUAGUAAACGCAGGUCAGCUAUACUGCGUUGAAUACGUUCCCGGGUCUUGUACACACCGCCCGUCAAGCCACCUGAAUUGUCUUCACCCGAAGUCCGUGGCCUAACCGCAAGGAAGGAGCGGCCGAAGGUGAGGGGGGUAAGGGGGACUAAGUCGUAACAAGGUACCCGUACCGGAAGGUGUGGGUGGAUCACCUCCUUUCUG